rnacentral:lncRNA from 1 species
GUCAAGUGUCCUGUCAAGUUGCAGAACUAUUUUAAUUAAUCGAUCUACCAGUUGACAUAUCUGGUAGGUCUUUUUGGUUUGUUUGUUUGUUUGUUUUGUUUUGUUUUGUUUUGUUUUGUUUUUUAUGUCAACUGGCAUUAUAGGUAGCCCUUUGUCCCUUAGGUAGGGAGUUUCCUUCUGACUUAGCAUUUCAGCCUGUCAGGUGGAACAAUAAACAGCAUGUUCUCUUCUGUAACUACUUCCAGCUAACAUUAGGACUUUGCUAUCUGGGCUCAGGAAGGCUGACAGGCUAGUCAAAGGCUGGGCAAUGGGGCAUUUAUCAAAAGCAUCUGAUUAGCUGAUCCAGCUGAAAGACAGGGAGCAAUCACAUCAGCUGGCCUGGGUUAUAUCUGCUUUCAUCAAGUCCAGAAGUUCAGUCAAGCUCAGCAGUUUGCAGUCUGCAGUUGAUCCCUGGAUAGAGUCCGUCCGUCAGCCAAGUGAAAAUCUGCUGAGACAAAUAUAGACUAGAGACAGAAAUUACAGUUUCCUAAUCAUUGGGGAAGGUGGGGAAUGCCAAGAGUAGGGGAAAAUCUCAACUUGGGGACAGGCAGGUGGACUUAUGUAGAGUCCUUUUGACCUGUGGCAGAUGGAUCCAAGACUUCUUAGAUUUCCUGAAGCUUACAUGGAUUUUUAGUUUACAAAAAAAGAGAUACAUUGCCUUUGUAAUAUAUCAAGACAAAAAGGAGAUGUAUUACCAUUUUGUUAAAAGUCCAUAUUUUAGCAAAAGCCAUUGACAGGUGUCUGUAAUACAGCAGGAACAGAUUCACGAAUUUGAGUCUUAGCAAAAAAAAAAAAAAAAAAAAAAAAAAAAAAACAAAAACAAAUCCAUAGUUUUAGGUUAUUUUCUUGUCCAGGGAUCCAGUUAUAUAGAAUGGACAAAGAUGCCUCAGCCUGACUAGAGACAUCUUUAUGUACAUAUCUAAAAGACAACCAAAGAAAACUCAACUCCUAAGCUUGUGACAAGGUAGUAAGCAGUGCUCCAUCAUGCCCUGAACCUCUGAAAUCUCAGGGCGAUAACAGCAUCUAAGGACAAAGAAGUUUGGAAACCCUCAGAAUUUAUCUUUUUUAAUAUCCCUAAAUCUUUAUAUAUCUCAAAACAAUUUUUAAUCAUUUACCAAAAACAUGAGUAGUUACUAUUAUUAAAGUCAUUUAAAGUCGUUAAAAACCACACUUCUUCAAUGAAAAGAUACACCUGACACCUGUUUAUCCUUGAACAUGAAGCCUGUAAGCAAGGCAAACCUCUUUGCCUUCUUUUAAUGAGAACCUUAGUUGUUUUAACUAAUUAAUGAACUGAUUAAUGAACUAACAUGGUGGUAGAUUACCUUGGAUUAAGGUUCUAGUUGUCUGUUGCUCCUCAGCUGACAAAGCUACAGUUAGCUAGCCUAACUGUGAUCAGAGACUCGAGAAAAAUAAAUAUAAUCUAAAUGGCCAAUGUAUCCAUGAAAAUGACAGAGAAUAAAUAGUCCAUAGUCUAUUACCUAGACUGCCAUCCCAUGUUGCAGGAUUUUCCCUGUCCAAUUACAUUAGUGCAGGAGGUCUGUGAUUGGACAGAGAAAAGGGAGGCAGAGCUAAGAGUUGCAGAGAGACGGAACAUCUCAGAGGAGAGGGGAAAGAAGGUGGCUGCUGUUGUAAACCCGUGUGGCGUUUACCAGCCACAAGUAGCUACGAUUUCACAAGGUUAGAAAUAUUGGGAUAAAGCUUAUAUCAUUAUCAGUUGGUUCUGAUAUUAUUGUAUUGGCGUCUCAUAAAUUGUGAAUUUAUUGAUGCAUAAAUCUGAAUUGUUAAUUAAGUUUUAAGAGUCUUGAUUCUACCAGGUAAUUAGGUGUUGAGAUGGCAGACCUUUGGGUACAUGGGGCAUUGCAUGGUAGCUAGAGGAACUGGGGGUGGGGGUCGUGGAGAGAGAGGGCCCGGUGGUGCCCUGUGGCUGGAGAGUUGGUGGACGGGCAAGAGCACGAGAGUGUGGUCGGGGCCCCAUGGAGCGUUGGCAGGUUCAUUUUUUAAUCUAUUUCCCAUAACAAUCCCAAGCUCCUUGGUCUCCAUGACAUCAUGGGUAGAGGCAGUUGUUGGCCAUCAGGCUCAGAGAUGAAAGGCUUUCAGGCAUAGGAAUCACGGAUAACUAGCUCCUUACCUCAAGGUAAUCUACCACCAUGUUGGUUGGUUAAUCAGUUCAUUAAUUAGUUAAAGUUACUAGAGCUCUUCUUAAAGGACUGCAAACAGGUUUGCCUUGCUCACAGGCUUCAUGUUCAAGGAUAAACAGGCUUCGGAUGUAACUUUCCACUAAAGAAAUGUGGACUUCUCUGCUUCAGAGGACCGCCAACCCUUCUCAUAGAACCCAGAUGCUAGGAGCCUAUCAAGGGCAGGGCCAUUCUGAGUCUUCCUCAGCUCCCCAAAUCCAUGCUGGGCUUAGCCAACGCUUCAGCUGUGCCUCCCAACUUCAUGGGGUACCCCAGAAGGUUUCUAGGCUUUGGAAUCCUGUUGAAAUAACCUUAUGGCCUAUGGGACAAUUCCCCAUGCCUAGAUGAAGGGUUUGGGGAGCUUUGGGGCUUGCAGCUGGCCUCCUUUGCCCUAGAUAAGAUACCCUAUAACCAGAAUCCAGAAGCCAACAAGAAGCUAGCAUAAAUAAAUAAAUAAAUAAAUAAAUAAAUAAGAG